CUUCUCCUUUCCCUUGUUUUCUAGCCUAAGGUAAGUCCCUUGUGCUGUCUUGGGUUUCUCUGAGAGCUGAACGUUCUUUAGAGAAUUAUAGUACUGGAGCCAGGUGCAAAUAUUGUCGAGGAGAUCACUGUAUUUGGACAAGAAUGUCUCAUAGCCAAAUUGAAUGGUGGAGUGUGUGGAUUUAAACAGGAAUCUGCCGCUGAAGAGGAAAUCCACACUGGAUGGGACCCAAAUUUCAUCAAAUCAGUUCAGAUGAGCGUUGAGAACAUUGUUGAGCAUGCGGAUAGACAUCCAAAAGAAGCAGAGAAAACUUGCACCACAGUAGAGUGUGAAGUCAUUAAGUGGUAAGCAAUUGUUUCAUGUCAGUUAACAAAAGAUAAAUUGGUCCUGUUCUGGCCCUUUUCCUGCCGCAAUUAAAAGAAUAGUACAGAAAAAGGUUUUUUUUGUCUGUGAGAGCCAAAUUUAUGACCAUCUCCCUGUGGUAGGAAGUUAUGCAAUACAAGUACUGUAAUG